rnacentral:rRNA from 1 species
AAGGCGUAGUCGAUGGGAAACGGGUUAAUAUUCCCGUACUUGGUGUUACUGCGAAGGGGGGACGGAGAAGGCUAUGUUGGCCGGGCGACGGUUGUCCCGGUUUAAGCGUGUAGGUGUGUGUUCCAGGUAAAUCCGGUUCACUUUAACACUGAGGCGUGACGACGAGGCACUACGGUGCUGAAGCAACAAAUGCCCUGCUUCCAGGAAAAGCCUCUAAGCAUCAGGUAACAUCAAAUCGUACCCCAAACCGACACAGGUGGUCAGGUAGAGAAUACCAAGGCGCUUGAGAGAACUCGGGUGAAGGAACUAGGCAAAAUGGUGCCGUAACUUCGGGAGAAGGCACGCUGACACGUAGGUGAAGUGAUUUACUCAUGGAGCUGAAGUCAGUCGAAGAUACCAGCUGGCUGCAACUGUUUAUUAAAAACACAGCACUGUGCAAACACGAAAGUGGACGUAUACGGUGUGACGCCUGCCCGGUGCCGGAAGGUUAAUUGAUGGGGUCAGCGCAAGCGAAGCUCCUGAUCGAAGCCCCGGUAAACGGCGGCCGUAACUAUAACGGUCCUAAGGUAGCGAAAUUCCUUGUCGGGUAAGUUCCGACCUGCACGAAUGGCGUAAUGAUGGCCAGGCUGUCUCCACCCGAGACUCAGUGAAAUUGAACUCGCUGUGAAGAUGCAGUGUACCCGCGGCAAGACGGAAAGACCCCGUGAACCUUUACUAUAGCUUGACACUGAACAUUGAGCCUUGAUGUGUAGGAUAGGUGGGAGGCUUUGAAGUGUGGACGCCAGUCUGCAUGGAGCCGACCUUGAAAUACCACCCUUUAAUGUUUGAUGUUCUAACGUGGACCCGUAAUCCGGGUUGCGGACAGUGUCUGGUGGGUAGUUUGACUGGGGCGGUCUCCUCCUAAAGAGUAACGGAGGAGCACGAAGGUUGGCUAAUCCUGGUCGGACAUCAGGAGGUUAGUGCAAUGGCAUAAGCCAGCUUGACUGCGAGCGUGACGGCGCGAGCAGGUGCGAAAGCAGGUCAUAGUGAUCCGGUGGUUCUGAAUGGAAGGGCCAUCGCUCAACGGAUAAAAGGUACUCCGGGGAUAACAGGCUGAUACCGCCCAAGAGUUCAUAUCGACGGCGGUGUUUGGCACCUCGAUGUCGGCUCAUCACAUCCUGGGGCUGAAGUAGGUCCCAAGGGUAUGGCUGUUCGCCAUUUAAAGUGGUACGCGAGCUGGGUUUAGAACGUCGUGAGACAGUUCGGUCCCUAUCUGCCGUGGGCGCUGGAGAACUGAGGGGGGCUGCUCCUAGUACGAGAGGACCGGAGUGGACGCAUCACUGGUGUUCGGGUUGUCAUGCCAAUGGCACUGCCCGGUAGCUAAAUGCGGAAGAGAUAAGUGCUGAAAGCAUCUAAGCACGAAACUUGCCCCGA